AUCCGGCUGAUGAGUCCCGAAUAGGACGAAACGCGCGUCCUGGAU
rnacentral:hammerhead_ribozyme from 1 species